GAAUAUUGGACAAUGGGGGAAACCCUGAUCCAGCAAUGCCGCGUGUGUGAAGAAGGCCUUCGGGUUGUAAAGCACUUUCGAUGGGAACGAAAAGCCUGCAGCUAACAUCUGCGGGUCUUGACGGUACCUAGCGAAGAAGCACCGGCUAACUCCGUGCCAGCCGCCGCGGUAAUACGGAGGGUGCGAGCGUUAAUCGGAAUUACUGGGCGUAAAGCGCGCGUAGGCGGCUCGUUGAGUCAGAUGUGAAAGCCCUGGGCUUAACCCGGGAACUGCGUUUGAUACUGGCGGGCUAGAGUGUGGUAGAGGGAGGUGGAAUUCCGCAUGUAGCGGUGAAAUGCGUAGAUAUGCGGAGGAACACCAGUGGCGAAGGCGACCUCCUGGACUGACACUGACGCUGAGGCGCGAAAGCGUGGGGAGCAAACAGG
rnacentral:rRNA from 1 species